rnacentral:rRNA from 1 species
UACGUAGGAGGCGAGCGUUGUCCGGAUUUACUGGGCGUAAAGCGUGCGCAGGCGGUUUUGUAAGCCAGAUGUGAAAUCCCCGGGCUUAACCUGGGAACUGCAUUUGUGACUGCAUCGCUGGAGUGCGGCAGAGGGGGAUGGAAUUCCGCGUGUAGCAGUGAAAUGCGUAGAUAUGCGGAGGAACACCGAUGGCGAAGGCAAUCCCCUGGGCCUGCACUGACGCUCAUGCACGAAAGCGUGGGGAG